rnacentral:RNase_P_RNA from 1 species
UGAGUCCGUUAAGCAAUCGCUUGGGUUGAAGCCCAAGAGGAAAGUCCGGACAACAUAGGAUAUGGCAGUCGCUAACGGCGACCGGAAGUGAUUCUAGGGAAAGUACCACAGAAACUAUACCGCCACUUUUAGUGGUAAGGGUGAAAAGAGUGAGGCAAGAGCUCACAGCUUGAUAUGGUGACAUAUCAAGGGGGCAAACCCUGCCAGUUGCAAGGAGGACUGCAUUAAGGGCGAUCCGUCCGCAGUUCGAUCACCGCUGGAGCUUGUCGGCAACGGCAAGACUAGAUAGAUGAUUGCUCUACGACAAAAUCCGGCUUAUCGACGGACUCUUUAU